AUAACCUCCAGUGCAGCGCUGCUGUGGACGGGCUGGACACACACACACACAGAGUACGUGCUGUUCUCACACUCGAAAACACGACGGUUUGGUUUGAUUCAAACUUCAGACACAGAGUGCACGCAGCGAGCACUAGAUAAAGACUUCACACUCGCCAGCACUCAGCUGUACUGUACCUCCAUGAAGAGUAGUCUGUCUAUGGAUCGUCUUUGGGAGUUUAAGGGAGACUGCUUAUCUGUACACAGGCACAACCCAGAAUCCUCUGCAGUAAAUGAGUUCCAAAAAAAGUUGUUUCAGUUCUUAAAUGGAUUGAUAAAAA